UCUCUGUUAGUCUAGUGGUUAGGAUACCUGCUUGUCAAAAUCAAACAAAAACUCGCAGGUGACCGGGGUUCAAUUCCCCGACAGAGAG